AGUAUAAUGUCUGAUUUAAGUAAUAAACUGUAAAUUUAUUUAAAAGACUAUAUAUAUAUAUCUUUUAUACUA
rnacentral:tRNA from 1 species